UACGUAGGGUGCGAGCGUUGUCCGGAAUUAUUGGGCGUAAAGAGCUUGUAGGCGGUUUGUCGCGUCUGCCGUGAAAACCCGCAGCUCAACUGUGGGCUUGCAGCCGAUACGGGCGGGCUGGAGUUCGGUAGGGGAGACUGGAAUUCCUGGUGUAGCGGUGAAAUGCGCAGAUAUCAGGAGGAACACCGGUGGCGAAGGCGGGUCUCUGGGCCGAUACUGACGCUGAGGAGCGAAAGCGUGGGGAGCGAACAGG
rnacentral:rRNA from 1 species